rnacentral:rRNA from 1 species
CCAAUAGCGUAUAUUAAAGUUGUUGCAGUUAAAAAGCUCGUAGUUGAAUUUCGGGAUUAGUACGCUGGUCGUGCCUUCGGUACGUACUGGUGUUACUGAUUCCUACCUUCUGACGAACCAUCAUGUCAUUAGUUUGGUGUGGUGGGGAAUCAGGACUGUUACUUUGAAAAAAUUAGAGUGUUUAAAGCAGGCUCGCGCUUGAAUACAUUAGCAUGGAAUAAUGAAAUAGGACGUUGAUCCUAUUUUGUUGGUUUCUAGGAUUGACGUAAUGAUUAAUAGGGAUAGUUGGGGGCAUUAGUAUUCAAUUGUCAGAGGUGAAAUUCUUGGAUUUAUUGAAGACUAACUACUGCGAAAGCAUUUGCCAAGGAUGUUUUCAUUAAUCAAGAACGAAAGUUAGGGGAUCGAAGACGAUCAGAUACCGUCGUAGUCUUAACCAUAAACUAUGCCGACUAGGGGUCGGAUGAUGUUAUUUUUAAUGACUCAUUCGGCGCCUUACG